CCUACGGGAGGCAGCAGUGGGGAAUAUUGCGCAAUGGGGGAAACCCUGACGCAGCGACGCCGCGUGGGUGAUGAAGGCCUUCGGGUCGUAAAGCCCUGUCGGAGGGGAAGCGGUACCCUUAGAGGAAGCACCGGCUAACUCCGUGCCAGCAGCCGCGGUAAUACGGAGGGUGCAAGCGUUGCUCGGAAUUACUGGGCGUAAAGGGCGUGUAGGCGGUUUCGUAUGUCUGGCGUGAAAGCCCCGGGCUCACCUCGGGAAGUGCGUCGGAAACUGCGAGACUAGAAUCCCGGAGAGGGAGGUGGAAUUCCAGGUGUAGCGGUGAAAUGCGUAGAUAUCUGGAAGAACACCGGUGGCGAAGGCGGCCUCCUGGACGUAUUGACGCUGAGACGCGAAAGCGUGGGGAGCAAACAGGAUUAGAUACCCUUGUAGUC
rnacentral:rRNA from 1 species